GCUUACGGCCACACCGCCUGGUUCACGCCCGAUCUCGUUUGAUCUCGGAAGCUAAGAUAGGUUGGGCCUGGUUAGUACUUGGAUGGGAGACCGUCUGGGAUUACCAGUUGCUGUAGCCU
ensembl:rRNA 5S_rRNA 5S ribosomal RNA